AACACGUGACUAACCUACCCCGGUGUGGGGGAUAACGGGUCGAAAGACUCGCUAAUCCCGCAUACGAUCCGCCUCGGCGGAGGAAAGCCGUAAGGCGCACUGGGCGGGGGUCGCGUCCCAUUAGAUAGUUGGUGUGGUAAUGGCGCACCAAGUCGAUGAUGGGUCUCUGGUCUGAGAGGACGACCAGACAGAUUGGGACUGAGACACGGCCCAAACUCCUACGGGGGGCAGCAGCAAGGAAUUUUCGGCAAUGGGCGCAAGCCUGACCGAGCAACGCCGCGUGGAGGAUGACGGCUCUUGGGUUGUAAACUCCUUUUGGGGGGGACGAUAAUGACGGUACCCUCCGAAUCAGGCCCGGCUAACUACGUGCCAGCAGCCGCGGUAAUACGUAGGGGCCAAGCGUUGUCCGGAAUUACUGGGCGUAAAGCGUGGGUAGGUGGUCGGUGAUGUGCCGCGUGAAAGCGCCGGAGUAAUGCCGGCGAGGUCGCGGUAGACACACGGACUCGAGGCUCGCAGAGGAACGUGGAAUUCCCGGUGUAGUGGUGAAAUGCGUAGAUAUCGGGAGGAACACCAGUGGCGCAAGCGGCGUUCUGGGCGAGACCUGACACUGAGCCACGACGGCGUGGGGAGCAAACAGGAUUAGAUACCCUGGUAGUCCACGCAGUAAACGAUGCAUACCAGGUGUGGGAUGGCGUUCGCGUCGUUCCGUGCCGCAGCUUACGCGAUGAGUAUGCCGCCUGGGGACUACGAGCGCAAGCUUAAAACUCAAAGGAAUUGACGGGGGCCCGCACAAGCAGCGGAGCGUGUGGUUUAAUUCGACGCAACGCGAAGAACCUUACCUAGUCUUGA
rnacentral:rRNA from 1 species